rnacentral:rRNA from 3 species
UUGAACUGAAGAGUUUGAUCCUGGCUCAGAUUGAACGCUGGCGGCAUGCCUUACACAUGCAAGUCGAACGGCAGCACGGG